GCUGGCCCUCCGGCGUCGCUCCCUUGUGCCUGGCUUCGGCUCUUGAGCGAGCACGUGUGCAGCUCCGGGGGAGCCCCGAGCCCCUGGCAGGCCUGUGCCACAUGCCCCCGGGAUGGGGGCCGGGGUUCAGGGCACCGUGACAACCGCGCUCUCUGUCUCUCAGCUCCAGAGACGCAAGAUCAAGUGCCGCGUCCUGUCGGCUGGAGUGACCGUCCUGCUGGUCAUCAUCCUCACCACUGCCACCUCCAUCCGAGAGUAAUGCCCCCGACGGUUGAUGCUGGGACCCAGGAGAGUGUCCCACCCACUGCCUCCCACCAGUGCGCUGGCCUCGCCACCACGACAUCCGCGUCCUGUCCCAAUGAACUGCCCCCCUCAGUUCGCCACGGCGCCGGUCUCCAUCCAUCGGGUCGGGGGCACCUUUCCAGCUCUGGGGCCCUGGAGAUGGAGCCUGAGCCCUAACAGGGGGAGAGGCCGGGGCAGGGGUGUGUGAGUGUGUGAGGGUGAGUGUGUGGGUGUGAGUGUGCACACGUGUCUGAGCGUGUGUGCCGGGUGGUGUGGGCACACGGGUGGGGUGGUCCGGGGCUGCCCCUCCCUCCAGCGCUGCCCCUCCCGAGGGGCUGCCCAUUGCAGCCUUGCCCCCCCUGCAGGCCCCGGGCCUUCCUCCC
rnacentral:lncRNA from 1 species